rnacentral:rRNA from 1 species
GUGGUGCAUGGUUGUCGUCAGCUCGUGUCGUGAGAUGUUGGGUUAAGUCCCGCAACGAGCGCAACCCUUGAUUUUAGUUGCCAGCAUUUAGUUGGGCACUCUAAAGUGACUGCCGGUGCAAGCCGGAGGAAGGUGGGGAUGACGUCAAAUCAUCAUGCCCCUUAUGACCUGGGCUACACACGUGCUACAAUGGAUAGUACAAAGGGUCGCGAAGCCGCGAGGUGGAGCUAAUCCCAUAAAACUAUUCUCAGUUCGGAUUGUAGGCUGCAACUCGCCUACAUGAAGCCGGAAUCGCUAGUAAUCGUGGAUCAGCAUGCCACGGUGAAUACGUUCCCGGGCCUUGUACACACCGCCCGUCACACCACGAGAGUUUGUAACACCCGAAGUCGGUAGGGUAACCUUUAUGGAGCCAGCCGCCGAAGGUGGGACAGAUAAUUGGGGUGAAGUCGUAACAAGGUAGCCGUAUCGGAAGGUGCGGCUGGAUCACCUCCUUU